UAGGGAAUCUUCGGCAAUGGACGAAAGUCUGACCGAGCAACGCCGCGUGAGUGAAGAAGGUUUUCGGAUCGUAAAACUCUGUUGUUAGAGAAGAACAAGGACGUUAGUAACUGAACGUCGCCUGACGGUAUCUAACCAGAAAGCCACGGCUAACUACGUGCCAGCAGCCGCGGUAAUACGUAGGUGGCAAGCGUUGUCCGGAUUUAUUGGGCGUAAAGCGAGCGCAGGCGGUUUCUUAAGUCUGAUGUGAAAGCCCCCGGCUCAACCGGGGAGGGUCAUUGGAAACUGGGAGGCUUGAGUGCAGAAGAGAAGAGUGGAAUUCCAUGUGUAGCGGUGAAAUGCGUAGAUAUAUGGAGGAACACCAGUGGCGAAGGCGGCUCUCUGGUCUGUAACUGACGCUGAGGCUCGAAAGCGUGGGGAGCAAACAGG
rnacentral:rRNA from 1 species